rnacentral:lncRNA from 1 species
AUGGGUGAAGCAGAUCGCCUAGGAAAGUUUUUCAUUGGUGGGCUUAAUACGGAAACAAAUAAGAAAGCUCUUGAAGCAGUAUUUGGCAAAUAUGGACAAAUAGUGGAAGUACACUUGAUGAAAGACUGUGAAACCAACAAAUCAAGAGGAUUUGCUUUUAUCACCUUUGAAAGACCAGCAGACGCUAAGGAUGCAGCCAGAGACAUGAAUGGAAAGUCAUUAGAUGGAAAAGCCAUCAAGGUGGAACAAGCCACCAAACCGUCAUUUGAAAGUGGUAGACGUGGACCGCCUCCACCUCCAAGAAGUAGAGGCCCUCCAAGAGUUCUUAGAGGUGGAAGAGGAGGAAGUGGAGGAACCAGGGAACCUCCCUCACGGGGAGGACACAUGGAUGACUGGUGGAUAUUCCAUGAAUUUUAACAUGAGUUCUUCCAGGGGACCACUCCCAGUAAAAAGAGGACCACCACCAAGAAGUGGGGGUCUUCCUCCUAAGAGAUCUGCACCUUCAGGACCAGUUCGCAGUAGCAGUGGAAUGGGAGGAAGAGCUCCUGUAUCACGUGGAAGAGAUAGUUACCGAGGUCCACCUCGAAGGGAAUCGCUGCCCUCUUGUAGAGAGCUCCACCUACACGAGGGCGCCCCCAUCUUAUGGUGGAAGCAGUCGCUAUGAUGAUUACAGCAGCUCACGUGACGGAUAUGGUGGAAGUCGAGACAGUUACUCAAGCAGUCGAAGUGAUCUCUACUCAAGUGGUCGUGAUCAGGUUGGCAGACAAGAAAGAGGGCUUCCCCCUUCUAUGGAAAGGGGGUACCCUCCUCCACGUGAUUCCUACAGCAGUUCAAGCCGUGGAACACCAAGAGGUGGUGGCCGUGGAGGAAGCCGAUCUGAUAGAGGGGGAGGCAGAAGCAGAUACUAG